rnacentral:rRNA from 1 species
GACGAACGCUGGCGGCGUGCUUAACACAUGCAAGUCGAACGAAGCAUGAUUACGGAUUCUUCGGUUGAAGUACGAACUGACUGAGUGGCGGUCGGGUGAGUAACGCGUGAGUAACCUGCCCUUCAGAGGGGGAUAGCGUUAGGAAACGAACGGUAAUACCGCAUAAUGUAUUUUUACCGAAUGAUCGAAAUACCAAAGAUUUAUCGCUGAAGGGUGGACUGGUGUCGGAUUAGGUAGUCGGGGGGGUAAAGGCUGACCAAGCCGACGAUCAGUAACCGGAGUACUAGGAUGAGCUGCCACAUCGGGAGGGAGACACGGCCGAGGAACAUUCGGGAGGGAGCGGAAGGGAAUAUUACACAAGGGGCGCAAGUCUGAUGGAGCAACGGCGCGUGAAGGAAGACGGUUUUCGAAGAGUAAACGUCUGUUCUUAGUGAAGAAUAAUGACGGUAGCUAAAGAGCAAGCCACGGCUAACUACGUG